GGCUCAGGAUGAACGCUGGCGGCGUGCCUAAUACAUGCAAGUCGAGCGAACGGACGAGAAGCUUGCUUCUCUGAUGUUAGCGGCGGACGGGUGAGUAACACGUGGAUAACCUACCUAUAAGACUGGGAUAACUUCGGGAAACCGGAGCUAAUACCGGAUAAUAUUUUGAACCGCAUGGUUCAAAAGUGAAAGACGGUCUUGCUGUCACUUAUAGAUGGAUCCGCGCUGCAUUAGCUAGUUGGUAAGGUAACGGCUUACCAAGGCAACGAUGCAUAGCCGACCUGAGAGGGUGAUCGGCCACACUGGAACUGAGACACGGUCCAGACUCCUACGGGAGGCAGCAGUAGGGAAUCUUCCGCAAUGGGCGAAAGCCUGACGGAGCAACGCCGCGUGAGUGAUGAAGGUCUUCGGAUCGUAAAACUCUGUUAUUAGGGAAGAACAUAUGUGUAAGUAACUGUGCACAUCUUGACGGUACCUAAUCAGAAAGCCACGGCUAACUACGUGCCAGCAGCCGCGGUAAUACGUAGGUGGCAAGCGUUAUCCGGAAUUAUUGGGCGUAAAGCGCGCGUAGGCGGUUUUUUAAGUCUGAUGUGAAAGCCCACGGCUCAACCGUGGAGGGUCAUUGGAAACUGGAAAACUUGAGUGCAGAAGAGGAAAGUGGAAUUCCAUGUGUAGCGGUGAAAUGCGCAGAGAUAUGGAGGAACACCAGUGGCGAAGGCGACUUUCUGGUCUGUAACUGACGCUGAUGUGCGAAAGCGUGGGGAUCAAACAGGAUUAGAUACCCUGGUAGUCCACGCCGUAAACGAUGAGUGCUAAGUGUUAGGGGGUUUCCGCCCCUUAGUGCUGCAGCUAACGCAUUAAGCACUCCGCCUGGGGAGUACGACCGCAAGGUUGAAACUCAAAGGAAUUGACGGGGACCCGCACAAGCGGUGGAGCAUGUGGUUUAAUUCGAAGCAACGCGAAGAACCUUACCAAAUCUUGACAUCCUUUGACAACUCUAGAGAUAGAGCCUUCCCCUUCGGGGGACAAAGUGACAGGUGGUGCAUGGUUGUCGUCAGCUCGUGUCGUGAGAUGUUGGGUUAAGUCCCGCAACGAGCGCAACCCUUAAGCUUAGUUGCCAUCAUUAAGUUGGGCACUCUAAGUUGACUGCCGGUGACAAACCGGAGGAAGGUGGGGAUGACGUCAAAUCAUCAUGCCCCUUAUGAUUUGGGCUACACACGUGCUACAAUGGACAAUACAAAGGGUAGCGAAACCGCGAGGUCAAGCAAAUCCCAUAAAGUUGUUCUCAGUUCGGAUUGUAGUCUGCAACUCGACUACAUGAAGCUGGAAUCGCUAGUAAUCGUAGAUCAGCAUGCUACGGUGAAUACGUUCCCGGGUCUUGUACACACCGCCCGUCACACCACGAGAGUUUGUAACACCCGAAGCCGGUGGAGUAACCUUUUAGGAGCUAGCCGUCGAAGGUGGGACAAAUGAUUGGGGUG
rnacentral:rRNA from 1 species